rnacentral:hammerhead_ribozyme from 1 species
GUACUGCUGAAGAGUCCCAAAAUAGGAUGAAAGAGCUGUCGAGUAG